AACGAACGCUGGCGGCAGGCUUAACACAUGCAAGUCGAGCGCCCCGCAAGGGGAGCGGCAGACGGGUGAGUAACGCGUGGGAAUCUACCCAUCUCUACGGAAUAACGCAUGGAAACGUGUGCUAAUACCGUAUACGUCCUUCGGGAGAAAGAUUUAUCGGAGAUGGAUGAGCCCGCGUUGGAUUAGCUAGUUGGUGGGGUAAAGGCCUACCAAGGCGACGAUCCAUAGCUGGUCUGAGAGGAUGAUCAGCCACACUGGGACUGAGACACGGCCCAGACUCCUACGGGAGGCAGCAAUGGGGAAUAUAGGACAAUGGGCGCAAGCCUGAUCCAGCCCUGCCGCGUGAGUGAUGAAGGCCAUAGGGUUGUAAAGCUCUUUCACCAGUGAAGAUAAUGACGGUAACCGGAGAAGAAGCCCCGGCUAACUUCGUGCCAGCAGCCGCAGUAAAAC
rnacentral:rRNA from 1 species